rnacentral:rRNA from 1 species
UACGUAGGGUGCAGGCGUUAAUCGGAAUUACUGGGCGUAAAGCGUGCGCAGGCGGUCUAUUAAGACAGGUGUGAAAUCCCCGGGCUUAACUCGGAACGGUCAAGUGAUACUGUCGUGCUAGAGUACAGAAGGGGCAACUGGAAUUCUCGGUGUAGCGGUGGAAUGCGCAGAUAUCAGGAAGAACACCAACGGCGAAGGCAGCUCGCUGGGACGGUACUGACGCUGAGACGCGAAAGCGUGGGGAGCGAACAGG